rnacentral:rRNA from 1 species
AAGCUCGUAGUUGAAUUUCGGGAUCAAUAUAUUGGUCAUGCUUAGGUAUGUACUGGUCUUAUUGAUUUCUCCCUUCUGAUGAACCAUGAUGUCAUUAAUUUGGUGUUAUGGGGAAUCAGGACUAUUUCUUUGAAAAAAUUAGAGUGUUUAAAGCAGGCUCACGCUUGAAUACAUUAGCAUGGAAUAAUGAAAUAGGACGUUUGAUUCUAUUUUGUUGGUUUCUAGGAUUGACGUAAUGAUUAAUAGGGAUAGUUGGG